rnacentral:rRNA from 1 species
CCGCGUGAGUGAUGAAGGCCUUCGGGUCGUAAAGCUCUGUCAAGUGGGAAGAACCUGCCUUGUGAUAAUACCACGAGGCACUGACGGUACCACUGAAGGAAGCACCGGCUAACUCCGUGCCAGCAGCCGCGGUAAUACGGGGGGUGCUAGCGUUAUUCGGAAUCAUUGGGCGUAAAGGGCGCGUAGGCGGUCUCUUAAGUCAGAUGUGAAAGCCCUCGGCUUAACCGAGGAAGUGCAUUUGAAACUAAGGGACUUGAGUAUGGGAGAGGGAAGCGGAAUUCCUGGUGUAGCGGUGAAAUGCGUAGAUAUCAGGAGGAACACCGGUGGCGAAGGCGGCCUCCUGGACCAAUACUGACGCUGAGGCGCGAAGGCGUGGGGAGCAAACAGGAUUAGAUACCCUGGUAGUCCACGCAGUAAACGGUGAACACUAGGUGUAGCGGGUAUUGACCCCUGCUGUGCCGAAGCUAACGCAUUAAGUGUUCCGCCUGGGAAGUGCGGCCGCAAGGUUA